rnacentral:rRNA from 1 species
UACGUAGGGUGCAAGCGUUGUCCGGAAUUAUUGGGCGUAAAGAGCUCGUAGGCGGUCUGUCGCGUCGGCUGUGAAAUCCCGAGGCUCAGCCUCGGGUCUGCAGUCGAUACGGGCAAACUGGAGUGUUGCAGGGGAGACUGGAAUUCCUGGUGUAGCGGUGAAAUGCGCAGAUAUCAGGAGGAACACCGGUGGCGAAGGCGGGUCUCUGGGCAACAACUGACGCUGAGGAGCGAAAAGCGUGGGGAGC